UACGUAGGUGGCGAGCGUUGUCCGGAUUUACUGGGCGUAAAGAGCGCGCAGGCGGCUGGUCAAGUCGCGUGUGAAAGCCCCCGGCUCAACUGGGGAGGGUCACGCGAUACUGAUCGACUCGAAGGCAGGAGAGGGUAGUGGAAUUCCCGGUGUAGUGGUGAAAUGCGUAGAUAUCGGGAGGAACACCAGUGGCGAAGGCGACUACCUGGCCUGUUCUUGACGCUGAGGCGCGAAAGCGUGGGGAGCAAACAGG
rnacentral:rRNA from 1 species